rnacentral:tRNA from 1 species
GCGUCCAUAGCUCAGCGGAUAGAGCGGCUGCCUUCUAAGCAGUAGGUCGCAGGUUCGAGUCCUGCUGGACGCA